rnacentral:SRP_RNA from 1 species
CGGUGUGCGGCUGGCGACAGCGCCGCCCGAACCUGGUCAGGCCCUGACGGGAGCAGCCAUAAGGUAACGGGCUGUGUGUCAGUCUGCGCAUCGGGA